GACGAACGCUGGCGGCGUGCUUAACACAUGCAAGUCGAACGGUGAAGCGCCUUCCUUUUUGGUGGGUGUGGAUGAGUGGCGAACGGGUGAGUAACACGUGAGUAACCUGCCCCCUUCUUCUGGAUAACCGCAUGAAAGUGUGGCUAAUACGGGAUAUUCUGGGUCUGUCGCAUGAUGGGUCUGGGAAAGAUAUUGUUUCGGUGGGGGAUGGGCUCGCGGCCUAUCAGCUUGUUGGUGGGGUGAUGGCCUACCAAGGCGGUGACGGGUAGCCGGCCUGAGAGGGUGGGCGGGCACGCUGGGACGGAGACACGGCCCAGACACCGGAGGGAGGCAGCAGUGGGGAAUAUUGCACAAUGGGCGCAAGACUGAUGCAGCGACGCCGCGUGAGGGAGGGAGGCCUGCGGGUUGAGAACCUCUUUCGCCAGUGAAGCAGGCCUGCCUCGUUUGUGGGUGGGUUGACGGUAGCUGGAUAAGAAGCGACGGCUAACUACGUG
rnacentral:rRNA from 1 species